ensembl:misc_RNA 7SK 7SK RNA
UGAUGGGAGGUCAAUAUGACCAAGACAUUUCAUCCCAGUGCUCUCCAGGAUUGAUUUGACUAAUCUGAAUGACCAUGGGGGAUUUCCCCUUCCCCUCUGUCAGUUAGAUGAUCCCAGAUGGACAAGGGCACUCUAGUCUAGGGCAUAUCAGUAGCUUUCCUCUCCUGCUGAAUCCUCUCAUGAGCUCUCCAGACCUGACACAUAGUAGAUUCUCAAUGAAUAUCUACUA